AGAAAACAAAGCUAUACUGGGAUUUGCAGAUGAAAAAACCCAGAUCACUUAUCCAUGAAAUGGCCAACACAUUUCCCAACCUUAUUCCUAUGGUUUCAUCCUGAAGCUUACGCUGUCUUGUGCGUAUGUACCCCAAGGAAGAGAAAAUUCGUUUCUUCAUUUUGAUCUGAUCGGAAGUCACUCAGAUCCUGAGCCACACCGGUUUCUAGAGGGGAAGACAUGGAUUGCUCUGCUUGCAUCGACACCCUGACUGAAUUCUGUCAGCUGAUGAGGACUGCACAUGGGUUUAUAACCCUUUUCAAAGUGGAAGGCAGAGAGCUGACAGAUGCUUGUUCCAGGCCAUAAGUGAGGGAGCCAGUCCUGAGCCGGGCAAACAGAACCCACAGUCACAGGCUGUCGUUCUGUUUUGGUAGUGCUGGGGGUGGAAACCAGGGCUUUGCAUAUGCUGGGUGAGGGAGCUCACUAUUGCUGAGCUAUGCCCCAGCUAAGAGGCCACUUUGAGAGCAAGGCAGAUAAUGGAAGCGUAGCCUACUUUCAUGGGUGA